CAGGGAGACAACAAAAUGUUUAAUAUUAUUAUUUUGUCACCUUAGGUCGAUCGGUAUCUCACGUUUUUAAUUUAUUAAGAAUUUCAUUUCCUAAGUUUUUCUAGGUCACACCCAUUAUUUUUCCUGGGCCAUUAGCUCAGGUGGUUAGAGCGCACCCCUGAUAAGGGUGAGGUCCCUGGUUCAAGUCCAGGAUGGCCCAUAUCUCUAUGUUGGGGGUAUAGCUCAGUUGGUAGAGCGCCUGCUUUGCAAGCAGGAUGUCAGCGGUUCGAGUCCGCUUACCUCCACUGAUUACCACCUCUUCCAUAACCGUUAGAAAGGAAACGUUUUGAGUCGUGAUCAUUAUUCUGAACGAAUCUAGCUUCCUAAUGAAAUCAUUAAGAUGCUGGACUCAUUGAAUUAAUUUCAUUGUUUUCAGAGAACCUUGACAACAGCAUAGAUUAUUUUUAAAGACAAUAAGCAUCUUUAUGAUGCAGAUUUAUUAUUUGUGCGAAUGCAUUAAUAACAAUUCUAUUAAGCUGAUGCUUCAAUUUUUGAAGUUAUU
rnacentral:tRNA from 1 species